AGAGCGAACGCUGGCGGCAGGCUUAACACAUGCAAGUCGAGCGCCCGUAGCAAUACGGGAGCGGCAGACGGGAGAGUAACACGUGGGAACGCGCCCUUCGGUUCGGAAUAACUCAGGGAAACUUGAGCUAAUACCGAAUACGCCCUUACGGGGAAAGAUUUAUUGCCGAAGGAACGGCCCGCGUCGGAUUAGCUAGUUGGUGAGGUAACGGCUCACCAAGGCGACGAUCCGUAGCUGGUCUGAGAGGAUGACCAGCCUCACUGGGACUGAGACACGGCCCAGACUCCUACGGGAGGCAGCAGUGGGGAAUAUUGGACAAUGGGCGCAAGCCUGAUCCAGCCAUGCCGCGUGGAUGAUGAAGGCCUUAGGGUUGUAAAGUCCUUUUAACGGGAAGAUAAUGACGGUACCCGUAGAAUAAGCCCGGCUAACUUCGUGCCAGCAGCCGC
rnacentral:rRNA from 1 species